rnacentral:misc_RNA from 1 species
GAUGAAGAACGCAGCGAAAUGCGAUAACUAGUGUGAAUUGCAGAAUUCAGUGAACCAUCGAGUCUUUGAACGCACAUUGCGCCCCCUGGUAUUCCGGGGGGCAUGCCUGUCCGAGCGUCAUUGCUGCCCUCAAGCACGGCUUGUGUGUUGGGCCUCCGUCCUCCUCCCGGGGGACGGGCCCGAAAGGCAGCGGCGGCACCGCGUCCGGUCCUCGAGCGUAUGGGGCUUCGUCACCCGCUCUUGUAGGCCCGGCCGGCGCUUGCCGACACAUCAAUCUUUUUUCCAGGUUGACCUCGGAUCAGGUAGGGAUACCCGCUGAACUUAAGCAUAUCAAUAAGCGGAGGA